GGUGCAGCAGGCGCGAAAACUUUACAAUGCGGGAAACCGUGAUAAGGGGACACCGAGUGCCAGCAUCAUAUGCUGGCUGUCCAGGUGUGUAAAAUACACCUGUUAGCAAGGGCCGGGCAAGACCGGUGCCAGCCGCCGCGGUAACACCGGCGGCCCGAGUGGUGAUCGUGAUUAUUGGGUCUAAAGGGUCCGUAGCCGGUUUGGUCAGUCCUCCGGGAAGUCUGACGGCUCAACCGUUAGGCUUUCGGGGGAUACUGCCAGGCUUGGAACCGGGAGAGGUAAGAGGUACUACAGGGGUAGGAGUGAAAUCUUGUAAUCCCUGUGAGACCACCUGUGGCGAAGGCGUCUUACCAGAACGGGUUCGACGGUGAGGGACGAAAGCUGGGGGCACGAACCGGAUUAGAUACCCGGGUAGUCCCAGCCGUAAACGAUGCUCGCUAGGUGUCAGGCAUGGCGCGACCGUGUCUGGUGCCGCAGGGAAGCCGUGAAGCGAGCCACCUGGGAAGUACGGCCGCAAGGCUGAAACUUAAAGGAAUUGGCGGGGGAGCAC
rnacentral:rRNA from 1 species